GACGAACGCUGGCGGCGUGCUUAACACAUGCAAGUCGAGCGGUGCGGCGAACGGGUGAGUAACGCGUGAGUAACUGCCCCCCUCCCUGGGACAACAGUUGGAAACGGCUGCUAAUCCCGGACAGUGGGGGAUGAAUCGCGUCCUGCCGGCGUGGUGGCGGGGUAAUGGCCUACCAAGGCGACGCCGGGUAGCCGGCCUGGGUGGGCGACGGGCCACAUUGGGCUGGGAUACGGCCCGAACUCCUACGGGGGGCAGCAGUGGGGGAUAUUGCACAAUGGGGGAACCUCUGAUGCAGCCACGCCGCGGGCGUGAUGACGGACUUCGGGUUGUAAACCGCUUUCAGCCAUGACGCGGUAGUGGCAGAAGAAGCACCGGCUAACUACGUGCCAGCAGCCGCGGUAAUAC
rnacentral:rRNA from 1 species